rnacentral:lncRNA from 1 species
GUUUAAGGAAGGCAAGACUAAAUAGCAUGACUAAGACCCACAUUGAAAAAAUACUGGACUAAUCACAUUCCAUAAGGAAAGAGUCAUCUCCUCUCUUUUGAAGGUCAUGAGAUGCUUGUCAAAAAGCAAACAGAGAAGAAUCUAUCUUUUGGAGGUUACAUGAAUAUGCUAUCAAGUUUGGCAAUGCAAAUGAUAUGGUUGUAUUGGUGCAUUACCAUUAAGUUGGUCCACAGGGCUUGAAGAAGUGGAAUGCUUUCUUCCAUCAAAAAACUGAAUAAUGAGAAAUUUAGGAGAUGGACCUCACUUUUCCACAUUUUUUGGGUGAAAUUAGAAGUAAGGAUUAAACAUGGAUGAACAUAAAGGUGGGGUUCAUAGGGACAUUGCUCAUUUUUCUUUUCUAGGUGUAUUGUCAACUUGUAGUUGGAUCAUGGCUAAUAACUAUUUUUAAUAACUAUUAGUGCAUCUAGGAAUGCAAGGUACGAGAACCUUUAGUUCCAUUAUGCCCAAUAACUAUGCUGAGAACCAUAGCAAGGUGGCAGCAAACUGGAUGAUAGAUGUCUUCUGUACGAGAAAAGAAAAGAUUUAAAUGAAAUAAUGAUAUGAAACUUAUGUUGUCACUUUUUCCAUCAAUCAACUUUGUGCAUCACCUACAUAGUGGUUGUAAGCAACAAAAAGGUUUACAUGAUAACUAACAUGUAAAACAUAUGGAAGAACAUCCCAGCUGUGAAGUAUAUGGAAGAAUAGUAAGGGAAAUACAGAGUAAAUGAUUGCUCCUUAUCUCAUCAUGAUGAUCUUUGAAACUUCAUAUUCCAACAAACAAUUCAUGCUUUGCAAAGGAGUGGCAUGUAAAAAUUAUGUCUGGUCAAGGGAAUAGUUGAUUGCAUGGACAUCUCCAUUGCUAUUUGUGGAGUUCAUUUUUAGUUUCAUGUUCCAUUUACUUAUAUAUUGUUAUUUACUUAUAUCCUAAGGUGCCCCUUUCUUGUUAAGGGUCUGAAACCAUAUCUUUUGUACUCUUCUUACUGUACUUCUCUAUAUAACUUCUCCCUGUUUACAAUACCUAGAAUGCUUUGCAAUUCAUUCAAUAAUACAAAUAUAGUAAUGUAGUUUAUAUGAUGACACAACAAAUGAAAGACUUCUCAUAAUUUUAUUUCCCUUAAGAGAUAUGGUGUGUGCAUGCAGACACACGCAUGCACGAGCGCUCACUGCACAUGCGCGUGUGCAUGGACACACACACACACACAGAGAGAGAGAGAGAGCAUGAUUGGAUGUAAGUGAUGAUAAGUUUAUAUGAAAAAAAAGUGAGUGAUUAAUAUCUAACCUUAAGCCUGGAUCAUUCACACAUGGUGUACAGAACCACCCCUGGGUACAGCUAUAGCUGGAGUAAAUCAACUGAAAUAAGAAGAAACUCAAAUGAUAUCUUGCAUUUUGACAAAAAUUGAUAAUCAAAGUCUCAAACUUCAUAUAACCUGAUUAGUAUAAUCUAAACACAGAAAAGAAGAAAAUCGAACAACAAAUAUAAGUAUGGAAUUAUUUUAUAUGGCUGACAAAGUAAAUUAGUUAAGGAGUAACCAGAGUUGGGUGUGAAGAUAUUCUAGAUAGUUUGAGCAUGAAUGGCAUAAAAUCCAGAAGCAUACCAAUCAGAUGAAAGGAUACUUUGACCUCCCUUGGUAGGUGGGAGGAGGUAUUUGAAUUAACAUCCUUAACCUUGGAACUACAUUUGCAAAACUUUUAGCAACAACAAAAGGUACUAACCAGGAAAAUGUUUUCUAUAUUCUUCAAUAUCCAACAAAGAAACAUGCAAAAGAUAAGAGGCAGACCUAUUCUAUGAAUACUAAUAUAUGAGAGGUGUGAGAACUAGCAGAUGGAAAUAAUAUUCACAUAGAUGGGUCCAAGCAGAAUUAGGUGCAGAGAAGAUGAGCCAAAUUCGUGAAUGUGCCUGUCACUGUAAGAUAUAGCUCAAGGUAAAUCUACAAGUAGAAAAAGCUUGGUCACCAACAUGGUGAGAUAUGCCCCAAAAGAUAGAGCAUUCUAAACUACAAAAUAUAUGUAUAUACCUAUGCAUUAUUGAACAUAGUUAUCUCUAAGCUAUUGCUCAAGGUAAAUAUACAUGUACAAAAAUAAUGGUCACCACUCACCAGCAUGGUGAGAAUAUUAUAAAAAAUAUAUCAAAUAAUAUCUGGAACUACAUAAUACAUAUAUAUGCUUCAACAUGCAGGUUUCAGGUAAGGCCAAAAGGCCAAGAUGAGUAGAAUGCACUCAAACCAUCAGUAAGAAUAACAUUCCCUGACAAGCAGGACUCUCUUAAAAAUAUAAAAUUGGGAAGGAAAAUCAUCUUUGAAAGCAUACUUAGCAAAUUUGCAUUUCACAGUUAUCAAUAGUGGAUAUAUGUGCAGGUCUUGGUAGAAGUUGGCAACCUAUAACAAUAAAUAAGAAAGUAAGAAACAUGCAGCAAGAGACGAUAUUCAUUUUUAUGUUAAAAAACAUGACCAAGUCUCAAGUUUUACUCAAGAUGGUAUAUGAAUACUUCUUGCCAAACCCCCACAAUUUGUUCACCUACUUGAGGAUAAAAAAACAGUCCUCUAGGCCCAAACAUGAGCAUGAUAUGGUCAUUGAGUCAUGAGUUUGUACUCUGAAAUCAACACAAAACAUUAGGGUCCGACUACACAUUAUUCACUUAAGUAGUUUCUCCGGUUCCACAGAAAAAUUGGGUUUAGCAUAUGGAUAUAUUUGAGAGACUGCCUGCAAAGAAGAGUCUUUAGAGGGAACAAGUAAUCACAGCUGGUCCAUACUUUCCCUCCGCAAGAACUUAAAAUGCAGUGCACCUAUCCUAUUGCUGCCCCUAGUUAUGGCACCAAAGUAGGAAGAAACUAAUAAGCCUUCUCUCAGAUCACAUAUUCAUAUUCCACAAAAAAUGCAAGACUAGUGGGCAGGCUAGAACUGCAGUUGCAAUUGCAAAUGCUAAUCACUUCAGGUAACUUAGAAGAUAAUGUAGCACCAGAAUAAUUGCUAAGACAUUUUCUCAACCUUUUCCAAAAUCAAUUACCUAACCUACAAACUCCAAUCUGAAGAUGGGUCAUUUCCGGAACAUUCUAGAAUAUUAUUAAAGUUAAAACUUUAUAAUACCUAACAAACAAAAUAAUGAUAGAAACAUUUAACUGAGAAAACCCAUUAAGUAAUACGUCAAUGUCAUUAGUGAUGAUUUCUCUAUGCAACAUGCUUCACAAAUAAGCUAAAGACAUUUUGACAUUUUGAAUGUUCUCAUGCCCAAAGCCUCUUUCACAUCAGCUUAAGUUUUCAGAUGGCAUGUAUGGCUGGAAACAAAACUGCAAGUUCUAAAAUGUGAUCAAGUCAAGGCAUGUCAAACUUGGAAAUCUACUACUUCUUUGACAAACAAUGCAUAUUGUUGAACACAAGGCUUUAAAAAUUAGAACCAGAGGGCAUACUGGUUUUUUUAAAAAACCGGUCUGGUAUCGGGUACAGACACACGGUACAUGACCUAUAUUGAUACAUUGCAUACCGGUGCUGGUUUUCUGCCAAAGCGGUACGGCACUGCUCAUAGCACCCUGUUCCAGUGGUUUUUAAAACCUUGCCUGGAGCUUUCCAGGCAAAUAUGAGCAUAUGAACACAAGAUGGGAUGUUGAAUGGCAUGCCAUCCUAUCAGCAUUUAAGGAAAAUGAUGGGUCAGACAUAUGCAACUUCAACAGCACAUGAGGUUUAACAGUACACCAAGGACAGGAUACAAAGAUAUUUAUGCUUACAAGAAGAUCGACACUCAACUAUGAAACCACCUUCUCCAUAAGCCACUUGAUGUAAGCAUUCAUGAAUUAUAUUAGAUUCCAGUAGUUUACUACAUCAAGCUCAUUAACCUACACUAAGUGUUCUGUGAAUUUGUGGAGAUUCUAUUGGAAAUCGUCUGAGCAAUAAAAAGUACAAGUAUAUAGAAAAUAAGGAAAAAAGGUAACCUAAACACUUAGUAUCAAUAGUUUCAGAAGAAAGCAGCAUCCACAUACAAUGCAUGACGGUAUGGCUUAUAUCAACUCUAUUGAUGCAUAUGUGCAAGAAAAUAAGUGAAUAUGAGCAUCAUCUUGGCACAAAGGUUUGGUGGGAGAUCAAGGUUAUUUGCUUAUAGGGCGCCAAGGAGAUCUUAUCCCAAAUAUGAAAUAAUUUCAUGGAAUCAACUUCACGUUUCCAUCAAGUCAUUCUCUGUGGUAAUUCAUAAAGUUUCAGGAGUUUAAUACCUGUUCAGUUGUUUACAAGUUUUGGUGCAAUAACUACUGUAAGGAUGUGUUAGUCGUCAAAAUAGUAUUUUAGCUUCUUUUUUUUUUUACUUGCUUAAAAUUAGAUUAUAACAGUAACUUACAAAUCACAAGUUUAUGUUAGAUCAUUAUAAAGAAAAGCUAAUACACACCCCAAUCCAUCGAGUUCAGGUUAGAUCAUUAUGUUAGAUUUCCCAUGACAACACAUAUUGGGACAUAUAUUCCCAAUUUCUAUCUUUGACAUGUAUAGUAUCAGAUUCCUUUGUAGCAAAUCCCCCACACACAAUCACCCAAAAAAAUUGAAUAGGGAAGAACAAUCAAGGAUUAAGUAUACGUAGGCUUCACAUGCACAUGGAUACACAUUCAUGUAACAUGUACCUGCAAGCAUGAAUGCAAAAUCCACCCACCAUAGCUGGCAAGAUAUAAUUGCAUUUUUUAACUUAAGCUACCAUUUGCUCUCAAACAUCUAUCUAAAUAAUCUUAACCCAUUCUUUGGAUUCCAAAAAUCUCAUCCAUAAUUGGGCUAUAUACUUUUAAUGAAGUAUCCCGCGUGAAUUAUGAUGCCAACAUCUCAUCCAUGUCCUAUGUAAAAUUCAAAAAUUUUGCAGCAAUUCAACCGAUUGUUUAGUACUUUGUUCCAACAAGUUUACCAAACCAAGUAAAUACUCUGCAGUCUGUGCCCCGUCUCUCCAAUCAACCUGCAUAUAAGCAUAACCUGCAAACAUUCAUCCAAUCAUUCUUCUGACAUAUGACAGAAGUCGUUAUUAAUUUUGGUCAUAUUUCAAUACCACACUGACAACACCAAUGUUUCCAUCUCAUUGCCUGUGAUAACUAGAAUCAAGCACCAUGAGAUGAUCCUAUAAUUCUUUUGGGCCACUGACUUUCCUUCCAUGUGCAGCAUCAUCUGAACCAGCUCAUAUAUUAGGACACAAAUGACCUUUUUUACCAAGCCUGAUUUGUUGGGAUAAUAAAAAAUGCCAUAUGUUCCUCCACAAAGAUAUUUCGCUAGGGAAUAUUAUCUGUAUCAUCUCUGAUAUAAAGAUAUGCUUUAGGUCAGUGUCGGACAAUAAUUAAAAACUGCAAGCAAAAGACCAUUUAUUAUAACUACAUCAAGGAAAUAAAAAAGUUUACUUUCCAUUUUUUUUAAUUUUUGUUUUUGUUUGUGGGUGAAGAGGGGGUAAUAACAUGCCAAAAGAAAAGGUUGUUCUAAAUUAUUAUUGAGCAAUUUUGUAAAUGGAUAAUAAGCUGAUGUGUCUGUUGAAAUAAGGGAAUUGACAAUAUAACAAACAAGAUGCAGAAGUUAGAUACUUAAAGUAAGGACAACAUGAUUAAGCUAAAUUGAUGCCUAGUAGGGAUGUGCAUCACAAUUAAUUAACAAAAAUCAGAACAGACCUUAUUUGCAAUUGGACCUUGUGCAAGGUAUGGUUUUUUAUUACGUAGCUGGUGGAAACCAUGUGCUACUUGAGCAUCCAUUCCUGCAUUCAACAAAACCAAAAACGUAAGGAUCUGCUGGCACCAAAAAAAAAAAUCACGAACUAAUAAUUAAUGAUGGGAAGUUCAUCAAACAAGGUUAAAUAGAUUUCAGCAAUCAUGAGGAGUUCUAUUUCCUUUCUUUCCUAUUUCUGUUUGUUUUGCAUCAUCCAGCAGUCGCUUUUUGGGCGCUUACUGAAUAUACUAUUUUGGUGACGUAUCAGGCAGAAUGUGAAAAGCAAUAUUUCAAUAAUAGAGGUAGGGUGAAUAUGUGAAUAGCCAUUUUGUUCUGCUUUGCUUGGCUUUGACACAGCACAUAGAAGUACAAUAAGCAUCAACUACAAGAUCACAGCACAAUAUAGCCCUAGCCUAACCUACAUUUCAAAUUAAGCUUCCCCAAUACAUAGAACAACAUUGUAAUUAUUUUUGUUUUUCAAGAAAUAUGAGCUGAUGACAUCUUGAAGCAAGAUGAUUAGCCACAUCAUUGGCAGGAGGCCGAGGUCGAGGAUAAGACUACCUACAUAGAUGACUAAGGAUGCUUGAAAAAAUGGCAGUACAGUGUAAAAAAAAUAAAAUCAAAUACAUUAAUGCAAAAAUACACAAUAUACCAAGAAAUGCUAUCAUGAUAUUUUGACACCCUUCUCUAUAAAUGCUCAUAGAUAAUAAUAAAUGCAAUCAAUUUAAAUGGCAGAGUACACAUUCAAAGUUACAAUUAUCUAUUAUUAGAAAUGGACUAGUUUAGGUAGUUUCGAAAAGAAAAAUUAUAUUUUUGAUUUUAAUUUGAUUAGAAACAAGUUUCCGUGCAUUCACUUUUCACUGAAGAAAUAAUAUUGGUUAGAGAGGCUCAAACGUUAAAAUAAUUACUAAAUUAAUUUACUGCUGGCAGCCUAGCACUAGGGAGUUCUGUGUAAGUGACAUGCCACAGUCUGUGUUGCCAGUGGUUUCCAGUUGAAGCAGUGCUCUGUUUUAUAUAAGCUAAUAUAACAAAAACAAAUCAGCCACAUGCGCAAUCGAAAUCCAACCCAUCUGCUUAGAUCUGUAUCUGUGAAGCGUUGAUAAGUGUUGAGAGAUGUAAUUUGAUAAGGAUUGAACUGAUGCAGUUGAACUUUUGAUAGGAUGAAUGGCGAAGAAGAAUUCAAGAUGUUGGGAUCAAUUAGUCAGGAAUUCAUUUCUUACCUAAUAAUGCUACCAUCUCCAAUUAGUUAAGUUCCCCUUGCUUGGAAGUAUCAGUACAGAAAGAAGAUGAGUCAUUCAUGGAUUAAAUGGUAAGAUUAGCCCAUACAUGGGUUCAUGAUAGUUUAUAGCAAGGUUCGCCGCACCGGUGUCACACUAGCAUAGUGUUGGUACAGUAUGGUACAGAAUUUUUUUUGGUGUACCGAGGAUCGGUACGCCACUAGUACCGGUACCGUCCAGUACGGUACAGCAUACCAUGAUUUAUAGAGUUAAAAUCGCAAAGAAAGAUUGUGUAUAUUAGAACUACAUAAAUUUAAUCCAAAAUUAUAUCCGUGAUGAUAAUAAUCAAUGUGAAUGAUGCAACAUGUCAACUAAAUUUGAAGUCACCAUGUCUUAAAGCAUACCAAUGCUAAAAUAGUUAUAGUAGACUCCCUCAUAGCAAGAAAUCUUUUCUGGCAACUCUCCAUCAAUGUCCACAUCCUGCAACAACUUCAAUUCUUUCAAGCAUGUAAUACCAUAGAAAUGUGUUCAUCAGGUAGAAAAGGCUAAAAUUUCUAUCAUUAUAAUGAAACAUAGUGCUCUGUAUAGAACUAUAGAUUCUAAAUUACAAAUUGUGGUGCUAGCAUCAGUAUUUCAUACUCCCUUCAAGAAAUUGCUAAAUCAUUCAAUAAGAAAUUGAGAAAACUAUAACAAAUAUCAUUUGACAGCUAAUGGAGAAAUAUUACUAAAUUGAGCCUCAUUGAUGAGAUUAAAACAUGACAGAAACCCCCAAGCACUAACAAUGGAAUAAACAAGCCACCUAACAUAAGUUCAAUGGUAAUGCAAAAUCAAAUAAAAUAGGAUGCAGAGGUGUUAUGGUCUUGUAUAAUGGUAAUUGGAAAAAGCUCAGCUAAGCAUAGUGCUCGUAUGGCCUAGAAGGAACAAAUCAGAAAAAAGUACUCAGAUGAGAUACCGCAUCUGAGUAGCGCCCUUGACACAGGUCAAUAGCAAAGCAGCAUUCAUCACUUGAGUUCAAAUCCUCCCUAAUUUGCAGCUAAACUGGAGAGGCCCAAUACUCAAUCACAACCACUUGCCUUUAAAUGCAAAGGCCAUGAUUAAGGGGGUCAUGGGAUAGGAAGGAUAUAUACGACCAAGGUUCGCCAUCGCGGUCCCGGACUUGUACUGGUACCAUCAUAUUGCAGUAUCGGUAUGCAGUAUGGUACGAAAGGGCGAGGCGUAUCGAGUGUCGGUGCGAUAUGAGAAUGCAUACCUAUUCGGUGUUGGUACGAUAUGGUAUUGACCAGUACGGCGAACCUUGAGUAUGACCAAGAUGCCUCUCAGUCACAGGCCAUCACACAAUACAUGAACUAUCUUUGAUUGAAGAGCUGGACCUCUACAGUUCAGUUGCGAACUCGAGAGUACCCUUACUCUCAUACAUCAUAACUCUACAUUAACCUACCACAAAACUUGUUAACAGUAGUUGUGGUAACAAAGAAGACUGAGAUGAGCAUACAUUGCAUUGCCCUUUUAGAUCUUGGAGCCUUGUCAUUAUCUCAAAAUAAUAUAUGCAACUACAAAUAAAAAAAUAAAGAACCUAAAAAUAUAUAUAUAGGUUUAUACUUAGGUAGAAUAUAUAUAAUGUGAAAGGUCACAUUUUUUGUCACUACCCUAGAGAAAAGAUAGUACAACUACAAAAUUCUGCAAAAGGUCAAGCUUUUCUCAUGCACCAAAUCUUAAUGCAUCAAGGCCCCAAUAUUUGGUCUAAAGCAAAGUCUCCAAAUCUCUUUACACCCACUAAUCACAUAGAUUUCUCCUUUCUUGUUUAAUAUUUGACUGAUGCAUGGUGUCAUUCUAUUACAUAACAUGUAUAAAUAUGCUUCACUUAUGUUGGUUGGAAACUGAAAAGUAAGCAUAGUCAUGCAAAACCUUAAAAAAAGUAAAGAUAUACAGAUCAGCAAUAAAGAGUCCUCUCCUUCACCCACCCAGGCUAGAUGUGCUUGAAAUUGGACUUAUUAAAGCCAUAAAUGUUAUAGUAUUUCUAAUGGUGGCCCUAAUUCUUGGAAGCUUUAUCCUGCCUCUAGCAUCUCCAGUAUUAUUAAUUGAAACAAAAGUUGCAUGACGUCGACCUGUACGACUUAUCAUUGCAUAAAAAUUUUCUGAAUACCUGGAAACUCUAGAUUAAAAAUAUGUCAAGAUUUUCUCUCUUUUUCUAAAAUUGAUAAUUCGAGUUGAAAUCUCAUGGAAACAAGUAAUCAAGUGGGAACACAUGGAAAAUCACAGGAAGACCAUAUGGAACCCUCUAAACACAAGUUUGCAGUAGUUUCACGUUGUUCUCUCAAUCCUGUUUUGUAAGUACUAAAAAUAGAUUUUAGGUCCCUGAGCAUUUCCACUUAUGCUUCCCCUUUUGGUCAAAUUGGUCUCACAACUGUGUUUACCGUAUAUAACAAGAUGUAUGGAACAUGUAGUUCUUGGUAAUCAUGAUCGACGGUACAAUAAUACAAGGAAAUGGUAUUAAAUAUAACAAGUUUUAAAUAAUUGAAAUAUGGUGCGCCACAAGAUGUAUUGUAUUAAAUCAUGAUAUCACCUUUCCAAGAGUUAAUAAACUAGCAUGUUCUAGUUUUGCAUACACAAAAGAAUAAAACUUUGCUUUGGACAUAAAUAUAUCUCUUCUACAUUCCUGAUGCAAUGCUUUGCCCAUUAAAUGGAUUUCACCACCAAAGUCUGCAUCUGAUUGCAGACAUUUUUCUUUUUUCGAGAAUGAGUUGCGGAAUGGGUUAAUUUACUCCAAACCCGCUAUAGUCUCGAAUAAACUACUCGACCCUACAUGUUCAAAUAGUUUCUCUGGAUUCGGUGGAAAAAAUUGCUCUAUAGAAAAAGUAGCUCUACCAACUUUUUUAACAUGGCUAAUUUAGCCCCAAAACAAAUUGGUUACUUUCCAGAGUUUGGCAGGUUACAGUGGAAUAAGUGGUAACCACAAUCAAAUGUAGCAUGAAAUUGUUAAUUUUGAGAUGUCUCAUAUUGACGGAUUACCUGUAGGCGCAAAGAGAUUUGUAAAUUUAUGCCACCUUAUCCCAAAUGUUAAUUGCAUUGCUGGGUUAAGGAAACUAACUUUACUUCAAGGACUAGAGAUAUAUUAUAUAAAGAAGGAAAGUAGAUAUGAGAUAGGGCUAUAAGAACAUUGCAGAACUAAGAUAAUCAGAGGACAUUGAAAAUCUUGCAAAUUAAAAGCAAGGCAGAAGCCAUGGUGAUAAGCUCAUCUGUUUCAUCGAUUGCCCGGUCAUUUUAAUCGAAUCAAGAACAGCAACAAUGCAUUAACCAUGUAUUUAAUUUCCAAAUGCAUUCUUUUCCAUAUUUCUGGUGUAAAGAAAAUAAGGACAUGGAAGCAUAAAUAACAAAGAGUUGAGUUGAAAUUGUAAAUUCAUGAUAUUUUGAGAAUUAGCAACCAUGCAGCAGAAGUGAAAUUAAAAUAAUAUCUGCAAUCCCAACCUGAUCCUGACCAAAAGCAAAUUUUUCCAUUCGCCUAAGAGAAUGUGGUAGUUCUAUUGAUUCUCCAUCUGGCGUCACAGCCACAACAUGCCAACUGCAAGGCAAUUACAACUCAAAUUGUGCAACAUGGAUGGCUUAAUGCAUUACAUGCUAAACAAGAAAAAAUUCAAUUAUUAAUGAUGACGUAGGAUCUAAAACAGUCAAGUCAAUGCAUCAAGGAGACAGUCAUGGUGUUGAAUCCAACAAAAGGGAGUCUUGCCAAUAUGACAGAGCAAAAACAAUAUUCAUCUGACAAUUAUAAAUGGAGACUAUGCUGAUGAUUAUGAACAGUAAGCAUACUGGAAAGGUAUCGAAUGAAGUACCAUGCUAUUAGGGAGCUGAGCACUCCCAUGGUAUGAUCAGUCAAGGAACAGAAAAUAAUGCAUCACUUUGCGGUCUUAAUCUCAUGUAUCUGUUACUAUACAUCAAUUAAGCAUGAUUUGGAGCUUAUCAUCACAUUCUAAAGUCAUGCAUCAUUUUUUGAGGGUCAGUCUAGUCCAUCUAGGCAUUUAGGUAUCAGCAGAGUAGGCAGCAGUCAUGCACAACAACAUUCCUCUAAUAAUAAAUGUAUCCAUACUGUUAGUGACCUCUAGCAUGGAGUACAAACAUUUCUCAAUAAAGAGCUUAUCAAUCCUGCAACUAGGAAUAUUCUGUUUAUGUCAAAUGACAAUCAACAUUCCUACUACAACAGCACAGUGUCCCAGGGCUAGGCCGUAGUCACCGGACAUGUUUCUGCUCCCUUACUUCCAACUCCACUUCCCAGCACCCAAAAGAAAUGGUGCAAGAGAAUAAACAGUGUGCCUCCUUAUUCACUUAACAAUGACUUAAAAAAAGAAGAAAAUAAUAUGAGGUUAAAAUCUACUCUAGGGAUUCUUGACUGUUGAGUUCAUGGCCAUUCCUUAAAUUUUCCAAUUCUUUGGAGCAAAACCACGUGCAUUGCACAUCGCAGAAAUUAUGCUUAAGAACGACAGAACUUCACUAGCUUAUCAGAGUAUUUAAGUUUUGAAGGUUCACUUUUCCAGAACCAUCAUGAAAAUGUUCCCAAAAUCUGCAAAUUAAUAUGCAAUCCAGAUGCCCAUCGCAAAAUAGGAAGCUGGCUAGAGGCUUUUCCAAUCUAACUGAAAUUAAUAAUUGAAUAAAAAGAGUAGAACAAAGUGACACUCAAAAAAUUGUUCUCUUAUCGUAUGAACUAAAAUGCAGACAAGCACACUCUCAAUUAAGGCAAUCAACAUAUCGAUGUUUGUAUAGCGGGUGGUUAGUAACGAAACAGAUUUUGGUUAAGGGUGUGCAAACAAUAAUGCCAUUAAUUUUACAAUCGCAGAAAAGUAUAGAAGAAAUCAAGAAAUAAUAUGUUGGUCGACUAUAUAUUAGACCAGCAUAACAUAAGCAAUAUGUAUAGAGAAGCAGCAAUUCCUAGUAAACUGUGCAUCUCAAACAAUACCUUACCAUGCAGCAUCCCUCUAGCAUGCAGCAAUUUGCUCAUGAGACAUCACCAUCACAUCCACAUGGAAUAUAAAGUUAAUAAGAACAAAUUUCGCUUGGAGAAAGCUAUUCCUUUAGCAAUGUAUGGGAUUUUCACAUUUGAUUCCAUGUUAUAAAUAUAGAGGACACCUAAAACUUUGUCAGAUGACGAAAUGGAAACUCCCCCUGGUUCUCUAGAAUCUUGGAGACAAAGUUACACAACACUUCACUAUUUUUUUUUAUAUAUUUUGUGGUUUAUGCAUAUAUCCUAGUCAUUUUCUAUCUAAUAGUUUUAAUAUGUAAAAGCAAAAAAAGGCUGUCUAGUCACAUGGAGUCCCUUAUAGAUUGCUGACAAUUUGUUUUGCACCAUGUAUGCAUGGGUUUUUUGUUUUUCAUUUACUGCCUACAAUUUGACUGUUUACAAAAUAUGGAGCUACAAGAAAAAGAUAACCCACUAAAAAGGGAAAAUACAACACAAACAAAUACUGAAUUAUCAGAAAUUUCCCUCAAAUCAUUUUCCUUUGUCUUGCAUCAGAGAAGAAAGUCCUGAUAAGGUCUCUCCCAUGAAUGCAUUUUUGGUAAUAGACUAUGCAUUAGCUAGCAAAGCUUGCAUAGAUGUGUACACCUUUUGCAUAAUUAAACAAACAAAUAACCAUGCGACAAUCUGUUUGUACCCUUGUGCAGAUUCUACAGAAGACUUUGAAUGAAGGCUAGGUUUAUUUUCAAAUAAAGAUAACUCUUACCUAUCGAGGCGGCAAACAGGGCCAGUGAUUGCCUUGUAGAGAGUAGUUUUAACUGCCGAUCGCCACGCAAAUGGAAAUGAACCACCCUACAGAUAUAUUACUCAUGUGAAUUAAUAGCAUUUCAGAUAAAUUAUAACGAUCAAAGCAAAUAGCAGCAAAAAGAAAUCCUUACCCAAUCAAAACUUCUUGCAAGAUCAUUGCCCGUUCCAAGUGGAAUGAUUCCAGUUGGAGGAAUUGGUUCUCUUUUGUGCACAAAAAGUUCUGCAAGAGCUCCUAAUACCCAACCAACCGUACCAUCGCCUCCUGCAACCUGCCAAGCAGAACCGUGCAUUCAUCACUCACACAUAUCCAAACAAGGAAACCACCAUGAGGUGGGGUAAUAAUGAGUAGCCUAGAACUAGAAAAAACUAUGACUUGCUGACUAACACAUGCCACUGAUAAAGUUCAACAAGAAAACAAAUGGUUUAUGUUCCUAGAAUGUGGAAAUAGGAAAACUUCAAAAGCAUGCAUCAUGUCAUUCACUAGCACCUGUUGCCAACCAUAUGCACGCAUUAGGUUUUGGCUAACAGCAUAAAAAAUUGACUAGU